CGGCACGCCUAACACAUGCAAGUCGAACGCAGUAGCAAUACUGAGUGGCAAACGGGUGAGUAUAAUGUGGGAAUCUGCCUUUUGGUUUGGAAUAACACGGGGAAACUUUUGCUAAUACCGAAUAAGCCCUUACGGGGAAAGUUUUAACGCCGAAAGAUGAGCCCGCACUUGAUUAGCUAGUUGGUAAGGUAAAGGCUUACCAAGGCAACGAUCAAUAGCUGUUCUUAGAGGAAGACCAGCCACAUUGGGACUGAGACACGGCCCAGACUCCUACGGGAGGCAGCAGUGGGGAAUCUUGCACAAUGGGGGAAACCCUGAUGCAGCGAUGCCGCGUGAGUGAAGAAGGCCCUUGGGUUGUAAAACUCUUUCGUCGGGGAAGAAAAUGACUGUACCCGAAUAAGAAGGUCCGGCUAACUUCGUGCCAGCAGCCGCGGUAAUACGAAGGGACCUAGCGUAGUUCGGAAUUACUGGGCUUAAAGAGCUCGUAGGUGGUUAAAAAAGUUGAUGGUGAAAUCCCAAGGCUCAACCUUGGAACUGCCAUCAAAACUUUUUAGCUAGAGUGUGAUAGAGGUAAGUGGAAUUUCUAGUGUAGAGGUGAAAUUCGUAGAUAUUAGAAAGAACACCAAAUGCGAAGGCAACUUACUGGGUCACUACUGACACUGAGGAGCGAAAGCAUGGGUAGCGAAGAGGAUUAGAUACCCUCGUAGUCCAUGCCGUAAACGAUGUGUGCUAGACGUUGGAAAUUUAUUUUUCAGUGUCGCAGCGAAAGCAUUAAGCACACCGCCUGGG
rnacentral:rRNA from 1 species